CAAUCCAUCCAUCCCUGUUCCGUACAGUCAAACGUGGUAAUCGUGGAGGAAUCUUUUGGCUCCGUCAGUAGGUGGCUAAAAUCAAGUUGUCCCACAGCCGCCAGAUGACGCGAGUGUCUUUGAGAGGACGAAAUGUCGAAAUAUUCGCCAUUUCGUUCCGAAACGCCAAGUGAAAAGGUAUUCCAAAUUCGUUACGGAAUUGCUGUGUCGAUCUACAUUUUCAGAAUUGAAAUGUAAUGGCAAUCUGGCAUAUCAUUUCCACUUGGCUAAAUAAUCGAUCAAGUGGACUGAAACUACUUUUCAUUUUGCUUAAAUGUCCAUUGUUAGCUGUACCUGUUCGGAUGUACGUCUCAUCUCACGCAGAAACACUACAGAGUUGGUGUUCAGGUUGGAGAUCCUGUUGCUUAACUGUUGCAGAAUGUGAGAACUCGACAAAUUCUAUGCUCCAGCCGGAUCCUGAAGUGUCAUUGCAGGAAAACUUUUUGAAAUGAACUUGGUGACACUUAAACUAUGCCUGUGCAGUGGUUUUGCAGCCUGUUUCCAGUUGAGAGAUGUGAUUAUGCAGCUGAUACAGGAUUGAAGAAAAAGAACUUAAGUAGCUUUGCUGGUGUUCUUCUGAAAUUGCUGUGCCACAGGAGUUGCAGAUAGUGUUUGGUUCCUCAUAGAAGUUUAUUUAAAGAGUCUGGAGAUGAUCAGCCACUUCUGCCUAUAACUUAUGUAAAACGUCAAAGUUGUAA